UACGGAGGAUGCAAGCGUUAUCCGGAUUUAUUGGGUUUAAAGGGUGCGUAGGCGGAAUAUUAAGUCAGUGGUGAAAUCCUGCAGCUUAACUGUAGAAUUGCCAUUGAUACUGAUAUUCUUGAGUCUAGUUGAGGUGAGCGGAAGGUGUAGUGUAGCGGUGAAAUGCUUAGAUAUUACACAGAACACCAAUUGCGAAGGCAGCUCACUAAGCUAUAACUGACGCUGAGGCACGAAAGCGUGGGGAGCGAACAGG
rnacentral:rRNA from 1 species